UUCGCUGAUGGCCUUGAGGCACGCUUGGCUGGUACUGGUAGCCAGAUCUACAAAGGCUUUGUUAAUAAGAGAACGUCAGCUGCUGAUAUCUUGAAAGCUUAUCAGCUAUAUCUUGCCGCAUGCCCUUUCAGAAAGUUGUCUAAUUUUACUGCAAACAAGACAAUAAUGAGCUUGGCACAAAAUUCAAUGAGACUUCAUAUCAUAGAUUUUGGUAUCCUAUAUGGUUUCCAGUGGCCCACCUUUAUUCAGCGAAUCUCAAUGAGACCAGGUGGACCUCCGAAGCUACGAAUUACCGGAAUAGAAUUUCCCCAACCUGGUUUCCGGCCGGCGGAGCGAGUUGAGGAAACAGGCCGUCGC
rnacentral:lncRNA from 1 species